GAUGAACGCUGGCGGUCUGCUUAACACAUGCAAGUCGAACGGGCUCUUCGGAGCUAGUGGCGGACGGGUGAGUAACGCGUGAGAAUCUGCCUUCAGGAGGGGGAUAACGACUGGAAACGGUCGCUAAUACCCCAUAUGCCUCCGGGUGAAAAGUAAUUCGCCUGAAGAUGAGCUCGCGUCAGAUUAGCUAGUUGGUGGGGUAAGAGCCUACCAAGGCGACGAUCUGUAGCUGGUCUGAGAGGAUGAUCAGCCACACUGGGACUGAGACACGGCCCAGACUCCUACGGGAGGCAGCAGUGGGGAAUUUUCCGCAAUGGGCGCAAGCCUGACGGAGCAAGACCGCGUGGGGGAUGACGGCCUAAUGGUUGUAAACCCCUUUUCUCUGGGAAGAAGACUGACGGUACCAGAGGAAUCAGCCUCGGCUAACUCCGUGCCAGCAGCCGCGGUAAUACGGAGGAGGCAAGCGUUAUCCGGAAUUAUUGGGCGUAAAGCGUACGUAGGUGGUUAUUCAAGUCUGCUGUCAA
rnacentral:rRNA from 1 species